rnacentral:rRNA from 1 species
GAGUUUUUCUUUUCUCUCCGGAGAUUAGAACUCUUAGAUUGCUUCCUUCAGUGCCUUAUGAGAAAUCAAAGUCUUUGGGUUCUGGGGCGAGUAUUCGCGCAAGCGAGAAAGUUAAAAGAAUUGACGGAAGGGCACCACCAGGCGUGGAGCUUGCGGCUUAAUUUGACUCAACACGGGAAAACUCACUAGUUUAAGACAAGAGUAGGAUUGACAGAUUAAUAGCUCUUUCUUGAUUUCUUGGAUGGUGAUGCAUGGCCGUUUUUAGUUCGUGAAUAUGAUUUGUCUGGUUAAUUCCGAUAACGAACGAGAUCUUAACCUGCUAAUUAGCGGCAAAUACGAUAUAUUCUUAUGUAGAAUUGAAUAUAGUGGAUUUGUUAGAUUUUGAAGAAAAUAUUGGAAUUACGUUAAAUGUGAUUCCUUUCCC